UAUCUUGUACUCAACACAUGUGGCAGCAGUGUUCUGGGAGAGAUGUGUCCCAUGCCCUAAAUAUUAGAGCGUUGUGAGAGACAAUAUUGCGGACUUUUGCUGUCCAGGAAGACCUUAAUUAUAACUUACAUUUUAAGUCUUAUAGUAAUAUAUCAGUAUAUUAGGUUGCUCUACCAUUUGCACCCAUCUUAUCCCCUCCUACAAAAUUCUUUUGAUAAUCAACUUUGUAUUUUUCUUCCUAGACAGGAGAACCAUUUCCAUGAGGUUUCUUCUAAUUUAUUUGACCUUCAGCCAUGAGCAGGGAGCCCAAGUUCUAUCGAACACUUCAACUUUAUUAUAUAUAGAAUCUGUUAAAUAUUCAAUUUGCUUAAUGUAUAAUAAAAUUUCUCUGAUCA